rnacentral:rRNA from 1 species
AUGCAUCACGACCCCAACCCCUUCGACGAGGGCACCGCCGGCGACGAAAACCCCUUCUCCAAUGGAGGAGGCCGCGGCGGGAAGCAGCAGCACGGCUUCCGGCCCACCGAGCCCGUCGGCUUCGGCGGCGGCGGCAGCAGGGGCGACGCCACCGUCGACGUGCCCCUCGGCAACAUGGGCGACUCGAAUGGCAAGGCGAGGGAGCUCUCGUCGUGGGAAUCAGAUCUGAGGCGUCGUGAGGCGGAUAUCAAAAGGAGGGAGGAAUCGCUGAAGAAUGCUGGAGUGCCCAUGGAGGAGAAGAAUUGGCCGCCUUUUUUCCCGAUUAUCCACCAUGACAUCGCCAAUGAGAUACCUGCAAACGUGCAGAAGUUACAGUAUCUGGCGUUUGCAAGCUGGCUUGGAAUUGUGCUCUGCCUCUCCUGGAACUUUAUUGCUGUCAUAGUCUGCUGGAUCAAGGAGGGAGAUUCAAAGCUGUUCUUCCUUGCUACAAUCUAUGCUUUGCUUGGAAUUCCCCUUUCUUACUUGAUGUGGUAUCGACCCCUCUAUCGUGCAAUGAGGACUAACAGUGCAUUCAGUUUUGGAUGGUUUUUCCUGUGUUACCUGAUCCACAUUGGUUUUUGCAUAAUUGCUGCCAUUGCUCCACCAAUUGUAUUCCAAGGGAAAUCAUUAACGGGCAUAUUGGCCGCGAUCGACACUUUCUCUGAGCAUUUGAUAAUUGGGAUCUUUUACUUCGUGGGGUUUGCACUAUUUUGCUUGGAGACACUGCUGAGCAUCGGGGUUCUUCAGAAAGUAUACAUGUACUUCCGAGGGCAUAAGUGA